GGCUCAGGAUGAACGCUGGCGGCGUGCUUAACACAUGCAAGUCGAACGAUGAACCUCCUUCGGGAGGGGAUUAGUGGCGAACGGGUGAGUAACACGUGGGCAAUCUGCCCUUCACUCUGGGACAAGCCCUGGAAACGGGGUCUAAUACCGGAUACGACACGGGGUCGCAUGACCUCCGUGUGGAAAGCUCCGGCGGUGAAGGAUGAGCCCGCGGCCUAUCAGCUUGUUGGUGGGGUGAUGGCCUACCAAGGCGACGACGGGUAGCCGGCCUGAGAGGGCGACCGGCCACACUGGGACUGAGACACGGCCCAGACUCCUACGGGAGGCAGCAGUGGGGAAUAUUGCACAAUGGGCGAAAGCCUGAUGCAGCGACGCCGCGUGAGGGAUGACGGCCUUCGGGUUGUAAACCUCUUUCAGCAGGGAAGAAGCGAGAGUGACGGUACCUGCAGAAGAAGCGCCGGCUAACUACGUGCCAGCAGCCGCGGUAAUACGUAGGGCGCAAGCGUUGUCCGGAAUUAUUGGGCGUAAAGAGCUCGUAGGCGGCUUGUCGCGUCGGAUGUGAAAGCCCGGGGCUUAACCCCGGGUCUGCAUUCGAUACGGGCAGGCUAGAGUUCGGUAGGGGAGAUCGGAAUUCCUGGUGUAGCGGUGAAAUGCGCAGAUAUCAGGAGGAACACCGGUGGCGAAGGCGGAUCUCUGGGCCGAUACUGACGCNGAGAGCGAAA
rnacentral:rRNA from 1 species